rnacentral:rRNA from 1 species
UACGUAGGGUGCGAGCGUUUAAUCGGAAUUACUGGGCGUAAAGUGUGCGCAGGCGGCAGAGCAAGUCGAGUGUGAAAGCCCCGGGCUUAACUUGGGAAUUGCGCUCGAAACUACUUUGCUGGAGUGUGGCAGAGGAAGGUGGAAUUCCACGUGUAGCGGUGAAAUGCGUAGAGAUGUGGAGGAACACCAAUGGCGAAGGCAGCCAUUC